CUAAUCGUUGUUUGGUCCACUUGAGCUACAAUCUGGAGUCGUUGGGGCAACCAAGUACCAAGAAAGAAAAUGAAGGUCUUAUUGAAGCAAUUAAUAGGGACCUCGUUCACUCUUGCAUCCUUUCUUUCCCUCCUUCCAACGCGGCACAACUCAUUUGUCAUCCAUCUCAGAUGUUUUUGUUGAAGAUAAGGUAAUUGGUUCACCAUCAGAAUGUGAUGCAAAAGUUAAUGUGAUAAGUGAUCAUCCUUCUGCCAUGUUGAAAUUUUCAAGCAUUCUCUUGAAGACCUACUCGUGUUGUUUCCCAUGAUUCCUUAUCCUUCGAUAGUUUAUUUUACCACAUAUAUAAGUGUAGUUGUCGUGGACGCAGUUGGUCUUGAAGCUCAAGGAAGUAAUGUGUUUAUAGCUGCAGAUAUUUAGUGUUCUUCGCUCAUUUUUUAUGUGCCUAUUAUAUCUACAUGAGAGGGCCUUCUUCUUUCUGGAAGGAUGCAAACAGGCUAUUAGUGUUGGCUGAUACUGUGAUAUUUCUAUUUGCACCUGAAGAUACCAUUCUGAGCUGUGCCAAUGUAUUGGUGUCUGCAGUUGCCCGUGCAAGUCUUUCACCAUUGUUCCAAACUGGAAAUUCUGGUUGGCCAGAUAUGUUCAAAUUGCCAGCUGCUAUUGUCCUUGCAUCAUUUAAUUGGAAGCAUGCGGUGUGUUUACAUGCUUCGGAAACGUUUCGGUUUUCGAAACUGCCUGAAAGGAGACGAAACGUUUUGGGGCAGUUUUGGUAAUUUGGGAGAAAAGGGAAAUGCGUUUCUGCGGAAUACUCUUUCGAUCUUAUGCAACAAAAAAACUUAAUCGACUCCUCUCCAUGUUUGUCAGCCUGUCAUGAAUCUCUCCAUCUCCGGUGUCUAAAAUUUUGACCUUUGCAGGCAUCUUGAAGUCUCAGUGAAUGCAUCUCCGGCUUCAUCAGAGUGCAUCCUUGGCUUUGACACUCUGUUCUGUCUCUGGCUUGGCAGCUUUAUGCUUUAGAAUCUUGCUGAGCCGCUCGAGUGUAGUGUGAGUGACAGACCUCAAUUGCUUGGUGGAGUAUCAGAUAAAUUAUUCUCAGGUGGGAAUCCUCCAGAAAAAUACAAGAAAUUUCUAUCUAACAAGCUUCAAGAAAUACCAAAGGAACUUCCAUUUUAUUAAUUUCUUCUGUUGUUCUAUCUUCAAGGUACCUAGAUAACCUUCCUAAGAUGUUAUGGUUCUGAACAUGUGUAUCAUUUUUGUUUUCUCAGAGGGCUUCUGCCAAGGAAUGCUACCGAUGGAAUCUUUCUAAAUUAAAUUUUAGCCCAAUGAAAAUUGAAAAUUCAAUAUGUCAGUUCUAAAAUUUUGUGAAACUUAUUGAUCAUAAAUUUGUUUGAUACUUAAAAUAAUACUAUACAAUAUUUUUAUACUAUACAAUGUUGUGCAUCAAACAUAGUCUUAGUAGUCAUUACCAUAAAUCUAUUAAGUAAUUCUAAA